rnacentral:rRNA from 1 species
GUAAGGAAUAUUGGUCAAUGGGCGCAAGCCUGAACCAGCCAUGCCGCGUGCAGGAAGACGGCCCUAUGGGUUGUAAACUGCUUUUGUCAGGGAAUAACCCCCCGUACGAGUACGGGGCUGAAGGUACCUGAAGAAUAAGCAUCGGCUAACUCCGUGCCAGCAGCCGCGGUAAUACGGAGGAUGCAAGCGUUAUCCGGAUUCAUUGGGUUUAAAGGGUGCGCAGGCGGAUUGGUAAGUCAGGGGUGAAAUCCCACAGCUCAACUGUGGAACUGCCUUUGAUACUGUCAGUCUAGAGUAUAGUUGAAGUGGGCGGAAUGUGUCAUGUAGCGGUGAAAUGCUUAGAUAUGACACAGAACACCGAUCGCGAAGGCAGCUCGCUAAACUAUAACUGACGCUCAUGCACGAAAGCGUGGGGAUCAAACAGGAUUAGAUACCCUAGUAGUCC